rnacentral:rRNA from 1 species
UACGGGGGGAGCAAGCGUUGUUCGGAUUUACUGGGCGUAAAGGGCGCGUAGGCGGCACUGCAAGUCGACUGUGAAAUCUCCGGGCUUAACCCGGAAAGGUCAGCCGAUACUGCGGGGCUAGAGUGCAGAAGGGGCAACUGGAAUUCUCGGUGUAGCGGUGAAAUGCGUAGAUAUCGAGAGGAACACCUGCGGCGAAGGCGGGUUGCUGGGCUGACACUGACGCUGAUGCGCGAAAGCUAGGGGAGCGAACGGG